CUAUUAUUCUUUAUCUGUUUCACUAGCUUGUCCAUGAGACCCAUCCUGGUUUUCCUGACCUUGGCCUAGCACAAGUGGAUUUUCAGUUCCUACCUAAGAAACCACAAUCUAACUUGUUAAUGCCAGGAAAGUGGUGAAACAGGUGCUCCCAGGUCCCAGGUCCCAACCCUACUGAAGAUGAGACAAUACCAGUGCAACUCAAUCCAACAUUUGUUAAACAUCCCACGGGUUCAGCACACCUUGAGG